AACAGACCAGGAAGGCAGCAGCCCUGCCCACCAGGAGCCAGCUAUCACAGACACUGGCAGCUGGCUCAGCUCUGCAGCUCCACAUUUAGGCAAAUGGAAGAUGCCCUUUGACCCCCAUGACACAUUUAAUUCCGUGUUCUACUUGGAUGAGAAGAGGUCUGUGAAUGUGUCCAUGAUGAAAAUUGAGGAAUUGACCACACCCUACUUCCGGGAUGAUGAGCUGUCCUGCACUGUGGUGGAGCUGAAGUACACCGGAAAUGCAAGUGCUAUGUUCAUCCUCCCUGACCAGGGCAGGAUGCAGCAGGUCGAAGCCAGCUUACAACCAGAGACCCUGAGGAAGUGGAAGAACUCUCUGAAGCCCAGGAGGAUAGAUGAGCUCCACCUGCCCAAGUUCUCCAUCUCCAUGGACAACAGCCUGGAGCACAUCCUUCCUGAGCUGGGCAUCAGGGAGCUCUUCUCCACACAGGCUGACCUGUCUGCAAUCACAGGAACCAAGGACCUGAGAGUCUCUCAGGUGGUCCACAAGGCUGUGCUGGAUGUGGCUGAGACAGGCACAGAGGCAGCUGCUGCCACAGGGGUCAAAUUAAUUCUAUGUUGUGAAAAAAUCUAUUCUAUGACAAUAUAUUUCAACAGGCCGUUCCUGAUGAUUAUCUCUGACAUAAACGCUCACAUUGCCCUCUUUAUGGCCAAAGUUACAAAUCCCAAGUGAGACCAGAACUUCUCAAAUGGGGAAAGGGCCCCUUCCCAAGAGCUGAGAAUUGAGCCUGUAUGUCUGUCUGUCUGCACAUUUUGGCUUCCAUGCUCUGCUUGGCUGAGGCAUGCCUGACUAGACAGUGACACUGACUAACUCUGUGACUCCCUCAUGCAGAGAAACAAGCCUAUGGCUGGUCAGUGUCAGACUCUCUGUCAUCUUGGCAGCCCUAGCUCAGGAUCCUGACCUGAAAUUUGUGUUAUUCCCUAUCCCUGCUCUCUCCCCUGUAUCUGCCUCAACUCAAAAGCGUGGGCCCAGCAGUGAGGCUCUCUCCUAACUUAGGCUCUGCUUAUGUCUGCUGUCAGCUUUUCAGUCAUGAUGGGACUUUGAAAGUUUAAAGCCAACUCAUAAGGUCUAAGAAGGGAACCUGCUGCCCUGGGUCUAUCUGCAGCAUCUGAAACACUUGACGCCCAGUUCUGCCUUAGUCUUGCCUUCCUUUGGGCAGAGCUAUCCAUAGCCCCUGCAGAAUCUCUUGGCCCUGCCCACCUCUGGCACAGGUGGAGCACUCAACCCUGCAAAUGCAUGGGGCCUGUGGGUCAAAGCAGCUCCCCCUAGCACUCCUACUCAGAACAGAGAAGUAGCCUAACCCUAAGUCUCUAAUUGACCAACCUCAUAGGACAGGUGGACACCUCCACCUUCAUCACCCAAAUUGAAAGGGCAGGAGCUAAUGAUCAAUAAACAUAUAACUGCAUUGAA
rnacentral:lncRNA from 1 species